ensembl:lncRNA
CUGUAAUUCGAUUCUUGAUGUAACAUUUUAGGGCUGACCAAUUUCGUUUUUUAAUUUCAAUUUCAAGGCACUUAUCAGUCAGUUUUUGCAGAAACACGACAUUAAGUGAUGAAGCACAUCAUGUGCUUCUCUACAGCGACGAUCUCCUCAGUCUCCCACAUCCUUCUCUGGAAUGGUUGGCGACCUGCACGACAAUUAGCGUAAUUAUUCAAUUACUUCUUCCAGGUACAUCUUCUGCUCAACUUCUGUUCCUGAUGCAGGCAGGAUGGUCUCCAAUCUCUAUCAUCUCUGUAGUCUAACACGUUUAACAUAAGAUGACAAAUGAUGUUGAAGUCCCAGAGACAGCCAUUUGUCCCCCUGCCUACAAGAUGAGGCUACAAGUCCCAGAGACACUGUCUGGGGUUGCGUGGGAGGGCAUCAUGGGACAGGCCCAGCAUACAUUGAACUUUGUCAAUCCAUAAAACAGAACUUCACACAAGACAACAGGACACAAGGCGUAAUGGAGAAAAAUCAGUGGGACCUGAAAAAUAUUCGGUUGCAGAGGACACUGACAAGGCUGGACGACUUUGUUCGGAUUUAUGAGAAAAUGCUUAAUGCACUUCUUGAAUAUGGAGACACAGAAAGGACAAGAAAAGAAGUAAGAAUUUAGUUCAAUUCAAACCAAUAACAUCAUCACUUGAUUUAAUUUCAGAAACGUUGUACUAUAGUAUAAUGUUAUGUAUUAAAAUAUUCCUAUCUUUUCAAGUCCUUUUGAGUAGAAAUGGAAAUCAGAAGGGAGUCUACUCCCUUUCAAACAACUGAAAAGCAAGGUAUUUAUUAAAAGGCCCAAUGAGAUAAGAGAUAUUUUCAAUAUAUGUUGAGGUUGUCAUUGUUUUGUUUUUUAAAUGACACCCCUGGAAAAAUGAUAUUUGUGAUUGUUUUUCCAUCCAUUUUCUUUUCUUUUUUUCAAAAGUAUGAAAUGUUUCAAGAAAUAGCUGAG